GAGAGAGAGAGAGAGAGAGCGGCUGUGCUUCAUUCAGAAAAAGCAGGGGGGCGUCAGAAACGAAGCGAGGGAGCAAACUAAGCAGAGAGGUGGAGAUCUGUCUGUUAUCUGUUAGUGUGGACUGAAAUGCGCUCGGCGCUGCCUCUGAGCCGCAAGCAGCUAAUGAUGCGUGGAGAUCAGCGAUAAACCAGCGGAUACACAGGUGGAGCUGUAACAAUUGUGUCUGUAAGAACGACGCACAGCAUGCAAGGAAACUGAGAAGACACUCGUUCAACAUGACAUCCCCUCCGCCCUCAUCUCAGCCAUAGGAACACACACACACACACACACACACACGCAGAAGAACACACACCAUCACACUACAGCCCCAGGGUUUGUGAGGUGUGUGCUUUGAGGGAUCAUGUCUGUGGUUUUCACACCCGACGGGAUUGAGGAGGGCGAUGGCUCUCUGUCCACCGACGCUUCCGCAGGCAUCUGUGGCAAAAGCAGCCCGUCGGCGCCUGCUAAAGACACCAAUGCCGACAGCACAGAACCAGAUGACAACCUCUCCCAGGAAGCACAGCGACGCUGUCAGAAUCACGGCCACACUAGGAAACGAGCCAAGGUAAAGCAUGCGAGGACACACACACUUCUCUCCUAAACAUGA